rnacentral:rRNA from 1 species
UAAACGACUCUYGGCAACGGAUAUYUYGGCUCACGCAUCGAUGAARAACGUAGCAAAAUGCGAUACUUGGUGUGAAUUGCARAAUCCCGUGAACCAUCGAGUUUUUGAACGCAAGUUGCGCCCNAAGCCUUYUGGUUGAGGGCACGUCUGCCUGGGCGUCACGC